UCCUCGUCUCCGGACGCCUUUGUCUGCUC
rnacentral:sRNA from 1 species